GUUUAUUUUUCUUCUGGUUACGCGAAACAGGCAGAAUUUUAUAUGUCAUCAUGAACAAGAUUGUCCAAGGAGCAACUGAAUCAUGUUUGAAUACUUUUAAAACAUAUUGGCGAUAUGCUGUUUUCCUGCUGGAUGCCCGCAAUUUCAUUUGCUAAAUGUAUAUGCAACGCACACUGCCACUCUAAGGAUUUUCAUUAUUGAGCAAUUAUGUAGCAAAAACGCAGGGGAACCAACCAUACAAGAUUUCGGAUUGCUCUUUGGGUGCAAUGGCUACCGAAGUUUUCGCAACACAAAAUAACACGCUAUCAGUGUACAUACGUGUAUCGAAUAUAAUUUGACGAAGACUCAAACAAUGGCAUCUUCAGCCAACAUGACAGAACUCUGUUGGUCGGCCAUCCACGUCGCUGUGAGCCAAAGAAAUUAUGUGAUUCAGGAGACGGGUUCCAACUUUCGCUAUCGCUAAAAUGCUUAAGUUAACAUAUUCGAAUUUUUGGCGAUCUCCAAAAAUCGCGAUUCUGUCUUCCCUGCCCGCUAAAAAUUGCCUAGCCUAAAUUUGAGUAUUUUAUCCAGCCGUAAGUCGCGCUGUGCAGCAACAACAGCUGUCAAAAUUGGUUUCCAGAGCAAUGGAGAUAAAUAAUGGAAAUAUAAAUAAGUAAUAUUUGCGAAGAAGAUUAACGAAUAGCCUUCGCAAAAAAACGCAAAUCAACAAGAUAAUUUAAAGAUUAUUUCAUAACAUUUGUGGAACUGUUUACGCUCACAAAAGAGCUUUGUAACAAUCAGCCUUAUUCUUAAAAUUGAAAAUUGAGGCUGAACGCCUUUGAGGAGAUCCAUAUCAAUAUCAUAGAAUAGCAGAGCGACUACUCAAAAUUUUCCGAAUUUUUUUCGGGAUAUUUUGCUCGUAAUGAAUAAAGCUUUGUAUAUACAUACGUUUA